GAUGAACGCUGGCGGCGUGCCUAAUACAUGCAAGUCGAGCGAACGGACGAGAAGCUUGCUUCUCUGAUGUUAGCGGCGGACGGGUGAGUAACACGUGGAUAACCUACCUAUAAGACUGGGAUAACUUCGGGAAACCGGAGCUAAUACCGGAUAAUAUUUUGAACCGCAUGGUUCAAAAGUAAAAGACGGUCUUGCUGUCACUUAUAGAUGGAUCCGCGCUGCAUUAGCUAGUUGGUAAGGUAACGGCUUACCAAGGCAACGAUGCAUAGCCGACCUGAGAGGGGGAUCGGCCACACUGGAACUGAGCCACGGUCCAGACUCCUACGGGAGGCAGCAGUAGGGAAUCUUCCGCAAUGGGCGAAAGCCUGACGGAGCAACGCCGCGUGAGUGAUGAAGGUCUUCGGAUCGUAAAACUCUGUUAUUAGGGAAGAACAUAUGUGUAAGUAACUGUGCACAUCUUGACGGUACCUAAUCAGAAAGCCACGGCUAACUACGUG
rnacentral:rRNA from 1 species